rnacentral:SRP_RNA from 1 species
UACCGGUGCUCCCGCAACACUAUGUGGUGAACCCCGUCAGGUCCGGAAGGAAGCAGCGGUAGCGGCAGAUGUGUGUGCCGGGAUGUCGCUGGUGCAG